ensembl:lncRNA
ACAAACCUGGAAAGACUUAUAUGAAGGGACGCAAGGUGAAGUGAGUAGAAUCAGAACAUUGAAUAAUACAAUGACAACAGUAGUGUAAGAGGACCUACUGUGCAUGACUUGCCUAUUAUCAACAAGGAAAGGAUCUAGGACAGCUCCAAGGGACUUAGGACAAAAAGGGCUAUCCACUACCACAGAAGGAACAGAUUGAGUCUGAAUGCAGUUUGAAGCAUACCAUUCUUUACUUUAAUUCCUACAUGAAUUUUUCUCUAGUAUAAGCAAUAUGUAUCUUCUUUUACAACAUAAUGAACAUGGAACUUUGUAUUUUAUGGUAUGAUAUGCAAAACCUAUAUUGUAUAACUGCCCUCUUGGGGAUAGGGAAGGAGUAGAAGGGAGAGAGAGAACCCAAGUUAGAAAAUUUCCAAAAAUAAUGAUUUAAAAUGGUAUCAGCCUUGAAUCAGCCUGGAAAAAACUGAUGCACACAAAAUAAAGGAACAAUAAUUGUACAGGGGAAAUGCCUUAUUUGAAAAUAAUGCCUACUACUUCCUCUAGACACAAAUUCCUAGUUUGGAUCCCAUCUACAGCUGUCAGCUCAUCAGGAUUUCUCCUUUUCAUGGUUAUUCUUUGAACUUUCCUAGAAAUUUACCCAUCUGGGAAGACAGCUAGUUAGCAAUAGUUGUUUUCAAGGGUUUCCUCUUUUUCCUUCAGUGUCUCCUGUACUUAUACCUAUACUAUAUAUACAUUUAUGAGUCAAGGACUUAUUGUUGUUCACUUGUUUUAAGUUGUGUCAAAUUCUUCAUGACCCUAUUUGGAAUCUUCUUGGCAGAUACUGAGUGUUUUGCCAUUUCCUUCUCCAGAUCAUAUUAAAGAUGAAGAAAUGGAAGGAAACACAGCAUUUUUCAGCACAGCCUGACACAAAUGAGUUUCCCAGAAACAGAAAAGAAUAUGCACCCAGGGAAAACCACCAAGGAACAACAACCCCCUGGAAUGACAUGAAGAAACCUUCUUUGACUUCCUUUGUUUCAUACUUUGCAAUAUCCACAUCUUUGCAACUGCUAUCUAAAAGGAGCUUGGAAAAUAUGGUCUCAGAUCACAUUCUCAGUGGUCUUCUGCCUUUGCUGCAGUAAGGAGGAUCAGCUGCCCAAUUUUCUCAGAGCCAUCCAGUGUAUCCUGACAUGGA